AUUGAACGCUGGCGGCAUGCUUUACACAUGCAAGUCGAACGGCAGCGCGGGGCAACCUGGCGGCGAGUGGCGAACGGGUGAGUAAUAUAUCGGAACGUACCCAAGAGUGGGGGAUAACGUAGCGAAAGUUACGCUAAUACCGCAUACGAUCUAAGGAUGAAAGUGGGGGAUCGCAAGACCUCAUGCUCCUGGAGCGGCCGAUAUCUGAUUAGCUAGUUGGUGAGGUAAAGGCUCACCAAGGCGACGAUCAGUAGCUGGUCUGAGAGGACGACCAGCCACACUGGAACUGAGACACGGUCCAGACUCCUACGGGAGGCAGCAGUGGGGAAUUUUGGACAAUGGGCGCAAGCCUGAUCCAGCAAUGCCGCGUGAGUGAAGAAGGCCUUCGGGUUGUAAAGCUCUUUUGUCAGGGAAGAAACGGUAGAGGCUAAUAUCCUUUGCCAAUGACGGUACCUGAAGAAUAAGCACCGGCUAACUACGUGCCAGCAGCCGCGGUAAUACGUAGGGUGCAAGCGUUAAUCGGAAUUACUGGGCGUAAAGCGUGCGCAGGCGGUUUUGUAAGUCUGUCGUGAAAGCCCCGGGCUCAACCUGGGAAUUGCGAUGGAGACUGCAAGGCUUGAAUCUGGCAGAGGGGGGUAGAAUUCCACGUGUAGCAGUGAAAUGCGUAGAGAUGUGGAGGAACACCGAUGGCGAAGGCAGCCCCCUGGGUCAAGAUUGACGCUCAUGCACGAAAGCGUGGGGAGCAAACAGGAUUAGAUACCCUGGUAGUCCACGCCCUAAACGAUGUCUACUAGUUGUCGGGUUUUAAUUAACUUGGUAACGCAGCUAACGCGUGAAGUAGACCGCCUGGGGAGUACGGUCGCAAGAUUAAAACUCAAAGGAAUUGACGGGGACCCGCACAAGCGGUGGAUGAUGUGGAUUAAUUCGAUGCAACGCGAAAAACCUUACCUACCCUUGACAUGUCAGGAAGUCUGGAGAGAUCUGGAUGUGCCCGAAAGGGAGCCUGAACACAGGUGCUGCAUGGCUGUCGUCAGCUCGUGUCGUGAGAUGUUGGGUUAAGUCCCGCAACGAGCGCAACCCUUGUCAUUAGUUGCUACGCAAGAGCACUCUAAUGAGACUGCCGGUGACAAACCGGAGGAAGGUGGGGAUGGCGUCAAGUCCUCAUGGCCCUUAUGGGUAGGGCUUCACACGUCAUACAAUGGUACAUACAGAGGGCCGCCAACCCGCGAGGGGGAGCUAAUCCCAGAAAGUGUAUCGUAGUCCGGAUCGCAGUCUGCAACUCGACUGCGUGAAGUUGGAAUCGCUAGUAAUCGCGGAUCAGCAUGUCGCGGUGAAUACGUUCCCGGGUCU
rnacentral:rRNA from 1 species